rnacentral:lncRNA from 1 species
UGCAAUCCAUCCCCUGCUACUCAGUUGUGUCAUUCAUCUUGCUCACACCAUGUGUUGAUGCACUUUGAAUAAAAACCCAAAAUCUUGUUGUGUCAAGUCAUGUGGAAUAGAGUCCCACAUUCUGGACUCCCACACAUUCUUUGAUUCAAGCUCACCCAGGCCUAGGUUAAGAGCUAUGAGGCAUAACCCUCAUCUCCAUUUCAUCUUCUCACCCUAACUCUCAAUGUUAGAGGUUAAGAGCCUGAC